rnacentral:rRNA from 1 species
GACGAACCGUGCGAACGUUGUUUGGAAUCAUUGGGCUUAAAGGGCGCGUAGGCGGGUGUUCAAGUCCGGGGUGAAAGCCUCCAGCUCAACUGGAGAAGAGCCCCGGAUACUGUUCACCUGGAGAGAGAUAGGGGCACAUGGAACUUCCGGUGGAGCGGUGAAAUGCGUAGAGAUCGGAAGGAACGCCGGUGGCGAAAGCGAUGUGCUGGAUCUUUUCUGACGCUGAGGCGCGAAAGCUAGGGGAGCAAACGGG